rnacentral:lncRNA from 1 species
GGCUUAGGCUGGGAGGCACAGCGCCCGUGUGCUGGAGGCGAGUUGGCUCCGGGUGGGGGAGGCUGGGGUUCCAAACCAGGGCAGGGGAAUGGUGGCCCUGCGUGGCUCGUGGACCUCUCUCAGGGACCCCUCUCAGCAGGGGCCGGAAAAGCAGGCCCACACCCAGUGGUCAUUGCAGGAACUUCACUUGAGCUGGUCUGCUUGUGAGCCUGUGGUUUGGAGAGGAGAAGACGCACUUCCCCAUGAGAAAAAGGUGGUCAUCCCCAUGGGCUCCACAGAUGAGGACACCGGCCCUCAGCUCUGCCCCCUCUCAGAAGCCUUCCUCACCUGGGGGUUCUGGGUGAAGGGAGCUCCCCGCCAGAGACUCAUGUGGGAUCGUGUGUGGACCGUAGAGCCACAGAGCGUCAUCUUUUAGAUCCAGGCUUUAACUUCAGUUUCCUGUGUGACCUUUGAGAAGCCAUCCCUCCAAGUGCUUCCUUUGAAGGGUGAGCCCUGGGUGCCUCUCUCUGAGGGAGGCCCUUGCUCCAUCUGGGCUUGACUGUGCCACGGGGGAUCAGAAGCAACAUACAUUCUGUCAGCAGCUGCCGGAAAUGCUGGAGCAGCAGUCCUGGAGGCGGGGUGAAGCAGUCCCUGGCUUUUGGAGGAGGCGUGAGAAGAAAUUCAUGGGGGGCUUUAAUUCUUUUCAGAUUCCCAACCAUUUUCUUCUAGCUGCUACUGCCUGCAUUUGUGUAACUUAGUUUGCAACACAGGUGACAAGCUU